UGUGCUAAUACCGGAUACGCUGAUUUAUCAGGAAAGGUGGCCUCUUCAUGAAAGCUACUGUGCCGGGAGGAGCUUGCGUACCAUUAGCUAGUUGGUGGGGUAAUGGCCUACCAAGGCGACGAUGGUUAGCGGGUCUGAGAGGAUGAUCCGCCACACUGGAACUGGAACACGGACCAGACUCCUACGGGAGGCAGCAGUGAGGAAUAUUGCGCAAUGGGGGCAACCCUGACGCAGCGACGCCGCGUGGAUGAUGAAGGCCUUCGGGUCGUAAAAUCCUGUCAGAUGGAAAGAAAUGCCAUAUGUCUAAUAUAUGUAUGGUUUGACGGUACCAUCAAAGGAAGCACCGGCUAACUCCGUGCCAGCAGCCGCGGUAAUACGGAGGGUGCAAGCGUUGUUCGGAAUUACUGGGCGUAAAGCGCGCGUAGGCGGCUUUUUAAGUCAGAUGUGAAAGUCCACGGCUCAACCGUGGA
rnacentral:rRNA from 1 species